rnacentral:other from 1 species
GUCCCUCUGCGGGGCUCGUGAGGUCGAGACACGAAUCCCUGACUUUGUCGAAUCGGGGGUCGAACGGUGCGUGGUGUGCAGACCCGGCUCGUUUCACCGGGGCGCCUGAAGCGCACCUCCAAAGAUUCCCACCUACUGAGUACGGUAGGGGUUCGGCUCAAACAAACCCACGACCACCGCGGUAAGGAC